rnacentral:rRNA from 1 species
AUGCCUCUGUUAGAUAGAAGGCUGAGACUUGCUGAUUUCCAAGAGCUGCUUAACAAGUUGAUUGAGAAGAUCGCUGCAUGGAAGGCGAGGUGGAUUUCUUCCACGGGUAGAAUGGUGCUUGUAAGGUUCAUUCUCUCGGCCAUGCCCUUCUUCCUCCUACUGGCAGUGCACCAACCGAUGUGGGUGAUUAAGCAAAUUUGAAAACUCCGUCGGGCAUUCUUAUGGGCGGGUUCCGACACCGUAUGUGGAGGCAAGUGUCUUGUCUGUUGGUCCCAGGGGUGCUCCCCAAUUAACUUUGGAGGGCCUGGCGUUCCUGACCUAUAUGCUUAGGGAAGAGCCCUCAAAGUCCGCUGGCUAUGGGAGAGUGCCACUGAACCGAAUAAACCAUGGCAUGGACUGCAACUACCGAUUGACAAACCUGUUAAGGCACUCUUUAUUUCUAGUAUCACCAUCAAGAUUGGUAGCGGGACCGAGGUGUCAUUUUGGCAUGAUCACUGGUUAAGCGACGAGAUCCCCUCUGUUUCUUUCCCCAACUUAUACAAGCAAGCAAGAGCAAAAAAAUUUCCUUGGCUAAAGGUCUCACAAAUAGGAGAUGGGUUACCUUGCUGA